GCAUUUUGGAUGGCACCUGAGGUAUGUGUUUAUGCAUUUUAGUUUAUAGAUUAGACAAAAUAUACUUUCCAUGGUAGUAUACUUUUGUUUUUUACUCUGUAUUUCUAUUCCUUUAAUUUUAUCUGACAUGCCUACCUGCAAGAUUUGUCUCUAUUGCAUAGUCUAUCAAACUGUCUGGUUAAAUCAUGUUUAAUAUUUUCCAUUAGUGUUUCUGGUUACUGAGCUUUAUAUUGCAGGUUGUCAAUAGGAGAAAUCAGG
rnacentral:misc_RNA from 1 species